UACGAGAGGCCCAAACGUUAUUCGGAAUUACUGGGCUUAAAGAGUUCGUAGGCGGCAUUGCAAGUAGGGUGUGAAAGCCCUCGGCUCAACCGAGGAAUUGCGCUCUAAACUGCAGUGCUUGAGGAACCUAGAGGUGAGCAGAACAGAUGGUGGAGCGGUGAAAUGCGUAGAUAUCAUUUGGAACGCCAAUGGUGAAAACAGGUUGCUGGGAGUGUGCUGACGCUGAGACACGAAAGCCAGGGGAGCGAACGGG
rnacentral:rRNA from 1 species